CAAUCUCCCGCUUCAUUCGCUCAUUCACACAGUAGAUAUUAUUCCACACUAGUAGAUAUUAUGCCUUGGAUUAGUCUGCAUAUCCAGUUAUCCACUGUGUGUUCGAGUGAAUGAGUCGGCAGCUCGUUCA